rnacentral:lncRNA from 1 species
CACAUGAAUUUUACUAAUUUCUUCUAGCUCUAUAAAAUAAUCUUUGGUACUUUAAUUGGUAUGGCACUGAAUAAGUAGAUUAAUUUAGGAUUAUCAUUUUUAUUAUAUUGGCUUAGCCAAUCCAUGUUCAACUAAUAUUUAUCCAAUUUUUUAAUAUCUGACUUCAGUUUUGUGAAAAGCAUUUUGUAAUUGUAUUCAUAUAGUUCCUGGGUUUAUCUUGGUAGCUAGACACUCAAGUAUUUUAUAUUAUGUACAGUUAAUUUAAAUGAAAUUUCUUUUUCUAUCUCUUGCUGCUGGGCUUUGUUGAUAAAAUAAAGAAAUGCUAAUGGCUUAUUGGGGUAUUUUAUAUCCUGCAAAUUUGCUAAAAUUGUUAAUUAUUUCAACUAGUUUUUUAGUUGUAUCUUUUAGAUUCUGUAUGUAUAUCAUCAUAUCAUCUGCAAAGUGAUAGUUUCAUUUCUUCAAUGCCUAUUGUAAUUCCUUAAAUUCCUUUUUCUUCUCUCAUUACUAUAGCUAGAUUUCCUAAUUCAGUAUUGAAUAAUGAUGGUGAUAUGGGGCAUCUUUGCUUCACCCUUGAUCUUAUUUGGAAUGUAACUACUAAAAUCAUGAUUUUAGAGGACUGAUGAGGAAGCAGGCUACCCAUCUUCUGACAGAGACGCGAUGGACUCUAAAUGAGAAAUACAUUUUUGGAAACACAUAGUGUAUCCUUAUCGUACCUCAGCUGGAAGUACAGGAAUACUCACUGGCCCAAUCACAUACUGAUAACUUUGACCUGCUCCAUUUCCAAUUUGGACCGAUUUUCCCUUCCUUGGGCAACUUGGUGUUCUCUGUUGCCUAGAGUUCACCAUGUUAAUGCCAAACAGUGCAAUUACUCGACUUAUCGGGCUUACUGUAGCUGUGAACUCCCAAGCUUAAGAGAUCCAUCAGCCUCUGCCUCUCAGGAAGACGGAUUACAGGCAUAUGCCAUCACAACAAGCUUCUUUGUGAUUUUGUAAAAGUAAAACAUAAAAAUUAACCUAGUUCAUUUUUGCUUUUGAAUCCUGUGCAAUCAUUUUCCACAUCUUUCCAUAAACCAUCAACAGAGCAUUGAGCAUCCACAUAACUCAUAAAAAUCCUUCUUCUGGUUCCUUUACUAUUUGUGAAUUUCAGUGCAGUAUUCGGUUAGUCCAUCUAUCAUCUGUUAUUCAUCACUUUGAAUAUACAAGCAACCUCCCUCACUUUCCAGUCAUGCAUCCAUUAUGCCUUUUACAAAGAUAAAAUCUUGCACACAAAUCACCACAGGUAAUCUGGUGGCAAUAUGUACACCCAUUAUGAAUUUUUGGCACCCUUUGAAACUAUGAUUCUUAUGAGAUGUUAUUGUUGGUUUUUUUUAAUUUAUUUACAACCAUAUAGCAUCAUAGGCAUAAUGUUGAUGCUAAAAGCUGUGUUCCUAUAGCAGGAAUUUGCUUGAGACCAGGGAAAAGACAGAAAGGAUUUUCAUUUUUUUUAAUUUU